AUAACCGUCACAACCAUUCAUACC
rnacentral:siRNA from 1 species